UGGUGCUGAGGAUUGAACCCGGGCCGCAUGCAUGCCAGGCAAGCACGCUACCACUUGAGCCACAUCCCCAGCCCCAGAAAAAAAUAGUUUUUAAAAAGCACAAGGAGAUACCAUUCCAUGAAACAUACACAAAGACCACAAUGAGAUGGCACUAGAAUAAUUAAAGAGGCUGCAGAGACUAAAUAAAAUGUACAGCAGUUGAAGCUUGACACAUGACUGGUGUGAAUUAUAAAAUGGUUCAGAGCCCUGAUCACUAGCCAUUUAUUACAAGGCUAACGUGUAUCCACCUAUGACUGUAAUUUCACUGCUCGGUGCUCUAGUCCCCCUAAAUGGGAAAAAAAAUAGCAAUCAUAUGCCCACCAAAAUGUUUUCUGUAACUUGAUAAAAUCACACUGAACCAAUGCCUCUCAACAGGAGAUCAGGUAAACUGGGACCGAAUACCACUUAAAUACCACAAACUUCUGACUUAUCAACAACAUGGAUGGAUGAAUCUUAAAAGCAAAGAAUGACAGAAGCCAGAUACAAAAGAGCACAUAUUGUAUGCCUGCAUCAAGUUCAAAACCAGAAACUAACCUUUGGAUAUUGAAGCCAGAACAAUUCACUUGGGAAUUAAUAGUCUAAUAAGAAAAGAGGAACCUGGGGUGGUGGCAGUGCUCCAUUCUUGAGGAGCUUGUUGAAGCAGCAAGAUCCCUUGACCCCAGGAGUUUGAGGCCAGCCUGGUCACAUAGUGGGAUCCAUAUCCAAGGAAAAAGAAGGAGAAGAAGAAUGAAUGAAUUUGAAGAGCUUUAUGUACUUCUAUUACUCAAUUUUUAUGUACACUGUUUUAUAUUUAUUAGAUGUAUUUUUUAAAUUAUGUAUUUCCUGCAUUGCCUGAUAUCACAUCCCCUCCAACAGAGAGGAAGAAAGAAGUAUGAUGUAUAUGUAAAGAUUUAAUUGUUUUAAUACAUUAUUAUUGCUUUGGUAAAGUUCUGAGUUCUGUGAGGACCCAAAUGACCUAGUUCAUGGACAGCCAGGUAUCACAUUGGGAAACUAGUUUUUAGAAAGUUCAAAAGAAAAUGUCCUCAUGGCAUUCUUUUGAAUGAGCCACUUUGAUAAAAACAAGAUAUUGUGUGUACAUGUUACAAAAUUCAGAGUCCAUAGGUCAUGCUGUGAAGAUAUGUCUGAGUUCUUUAUCCUAGAGGCAGCUACUAUCACAAAUUACUUGUAUACCUCCAGACAUGCUCUGUGUCCAUGCAGGCAUUGGCCUAACUAUUUGGUAGUCUACCAUACAGUAUUAUGCAUAUUGAAUUUUUCAUUUAAAAUACAUAUCUUGAAAAUUGUGGCAUAUCAUCAUGUUUGGGGCUGAAUUGUAUAAUUUUUUUUAAUCUCCAAGUUAUUUCAAUGUAUGGAUUAACCACAACUCAUUCCAUUAGUCCCCUAUUGCUUCCAAUAUUUUCUUUGUAUGUACAAACAAUGAUAUGUACAAAUAUCCUUCUAUAUUUGCAUGCAUGCAUGUAUACAUGUACAAUAAAUCCCUAGUAGUAGGAUUGCUUGUUCAAAAGACGAGUGUACCUAAAAGUUUGAAAACUCUGUAGCAAUUUCAUUUUGCUUUCCUACUCUGAACUUUAAGAUGGUAUCAAAUUUGUUAUUUUUUGCCAAACUUAUAGGUGAUAAAAUUUUUAAUGCAA